GACGAACGCUGGCGGCGUGCUUAACACAUGCAAGUCGAACGGAAAGGCCCUGCUUUUGUGGGGUGCUCGAGUGGCGAACGGGUGAGUAACACGUGAGUAACCUGCCCUUGACUUUGGGAUAACUUCAGGAAACUGGGGCUAAUACCGGAUAGGAGCUCCUGCUGCAUGGUGGGGGUUGGAAAGUUUCGGCGGUUGGGGAUGGACUCGCGGCUUAUCAGCUUGUUGGUGGGGUAGUGGCUUACCAAGGCUUUGACGGGUAGCCGGCCUGAGAGGGUGACCGGGGACAUUGGUACUACGGGACGGCGCAGAGUCCUACGGGAGGCAGUAGGGGGGAGUAUUGCACAAUGAGCGGAAGCCUGAUGCAGCAACGCCGCGUGCGGGAUGACGGCCUUCGGGUUGUAAACCGCUUUCGCCUGUGACGAAGCGGGAGUGACGGUAAUGGGUAAAGAAGCACCGGCUAACUACGUG
rnacentral:rRNA from 1 species